AAUAGAGGAGCUGCAGCCAAUGCAAAUCAGACUCACUCUGAACAGAGAAAUCUACAGCACAGAGAUCCAGACAUGACACUUACAAUCAUCUCAAAGGAGCAGCUCCCUCUUAACAACAAGCUAAAAAGCUAAGGAUGGAGAAAAUGCAUAGCAACGCGUCUUCUGGCUCCAGAGUUUCUCUGGCAUCAGUCUGAUUUCAUGCCGAAAAAGCAGAUAUCCUGUAGAUGAUGAUCAACGUCCUGCAACAGCACAGUCCAAAAUUGAGACGUAGACAGAGAGCUCAAGAAGACUACUGAAGCAGUUUCAGAAGCUGCAGACUUCAUGUGAGCGAAACUGGAGGGAAAGUGUCUUGCAAACACCUUUAGCAAAGAGUUGAAUGUCAAUAAGAGCGCCAUCUAAAGGCCUUGUUAAAAAUUCAGACUGAAUGCCUGUACCUGGACUUCAGUGCUAAUUUCUCUUUUUAAGUAAAAAAAGUGUUUUAAA